rnacentral:rRNA from 1 species
GACUCUCGGCAACGGAUAUCUCGGCUCUCGCAUCGAUGAGAACGUAGCGAAAUGCGAUACUUGGUGUGAUUGCAGAAUCCCGUGAACCAUCGAGUCUUUGAACGCAAGUUGCGCCCGAAGCCACUAGCCGAGGGCACGCCUGCCUGGGCGUCA